GUGCUUGUGGGGUAGUGGUCAUCACAUCCGCCUAACACGCGGAAGGUCCCAGGUUCGAUCCCUGGCAGGCACA
rnacentral:tRNA from 1 species